AAGUCAUUCACCUUACCAAUCUAGAUAUAUACUCAAUAUAGUUGUAUAUGUCGGUUUGACUUUCCAAAAUUGUGAUUAAUUCGUCCACUUAUAUGGGAAUGUUUUGUUUGGAAAAUCUAAGAAUAUGGUUUACAGAAAAAUAUGAAAAAAUACAUGUCCGUAAAUGUGAGAGAAGUUUCAUAGGAAUACUGCAUUAGAUUCCAACAGCCACUAACUGAUCGUGCACUAGCCUUUCAUUCGAUCAAAUUGCAAUUUGGGGCUUUGUCUUGCCCUGAGUUCUCUGAUGUUUAUAGGUGCCAUUUUGCUUCAUCUAAGACAUAAUUUUGGUUCAGGAUUCAGUUACUAUAAAAAAACUUUGGUUCAGGAUUCAUGUUUGAAGGAGUAAUAAAACAUGAUUUUAUUGCUUUAAUGUCCGCAUUGGUUUUGUUUGUCAUGAUGCAUGCAAUGACCAUAUUGUUCCCAUCGCUGAUCGCUGUAUGAGCGGGUGGUACUGUCAAGAUCUUGCAUUUAAUACCAUGGUAAAAUUGACAUUACCUUUUUCAUCAGGAGUGAGAAAGGAACUUAUUAUGCACUAGAUGCUGGGGGUACUAAUUUUAGGGUCUUGCGGGUUCAGCUAGGAGGUCAAAGGUCCUCAAUCCUGGAACCGCAUGUGGAACAACAAGCCAUUCCCCCAUCUGAUGACCAGCACUAGUGAGAACCUCUUUGAUUUAAUAUAAAGGAGUUUGUUGAUAGAGGAGAAGAUGGUUCCAAAACUCUAGUUAGCGGAAGAGGGGAACUUGGAUUUACAUUCUCUUUUCCAGUGAAGCAAAGAUCUGUUUCAUCGGGCAUUCUGAUUAAAUGGACAAAAGGGUUUCACAUUGAAGAAAUGGUUAGUCAGGUUCGAAGGGAGGUGACAGAAUGCUUAGAACAAGCAAUGAUCCGAAAAGGACUGAAUAUGCGGGUAGCAGUACUGGUCAAUGAUACUGUGGGAACAUUAGCACUUGGACAUUAUCACAAUGAAGACAAUGUUGUUGCAGUGAUAUUUGGUACAGGUACAAAUGCCUGCUACUGGGAGCGGACAGAUGCUAUCAUCAAGUGUCAAGGGCUUCUCUCAACUUCUGGAGGCAUGGUCAUCAAUAUGGAAUGGGGAAAUUUCUGGUCAUCUCAUUUGCCGAGAACUUCUUAUGACACCGACUUAGAUUCCCAUAGCUCUAGUCCAAAUGACCAGGGUUUUGAGAAAAUGAUAUCAGGAAUGUAUCUUGGUUGAGGUUGUGAGGAGAGUGCUUCUAAGAAUGUCACAAGAGUCAGAUAUAUUUGGAACUGUUCCUUCCAGAUUAUCAGUGCCAUUUAUUUUUAGAUUAUUUCAAUGAAUAAGAAAAAAGAAGGGGAAAAAACAAAGCCAUGGGUGAUGGAUGAUACAUGAUCUUUCUUGGCUUUGGCACACUUCAUCACCAAUAUCCUUUUCCAUUCCCUUGUGAAUCACCAAAAACUAGUUUUCUGUAGUUGUCAUUUGAUCUUCUCUGAAACUAGUUUUUUACCAAAGAUGUAUUUAAAGUAAAUGCUUGUAUUUAGCCUGUCAUCAUUCUGUAUUUAGCCAGGCAUUGGAGCAGCUCUCCUUGCCGCCACAUAUUCAGAGGACAGUGUGUGUGGAUAGUGUACAGUUGCUAUGAAUAUAUGUUCAAUUACAUACAAAUAGCCCCUGUAAAUGUAGAGUUAUUUUUCCAUAUCUUCUUGUAUAAAGGAAGGAUUGUCCACAUAUAGUUUUUGUUUUUUCUGAAAUUUUCAUCCAUUGAUA